CAUUAAGUCAUGCAGAAUCGAACACUGAAGGAGCCACAAGGACAACUUCCUUUCUUUCCCACUCAUCUCCACCAGGGUUAAUUACAGGGUCUGAGGAGUCUGUGGCAACCAUCACCACGGAUCUGAGUGAGGGGGCACCUAGAAGCAGCACGCUAUUGACGGGCGACUCCAUAUCUCUGGAGACUGUCAGUCUAGGUGUGUCCACAAGAAUUCCAGAACUGACUACAGCCAUCAAACUCACAAGCUCCAAGGAGCCCAGAACUGGCCCAGAGACCAGGUACCCUCUGGGAAAUUCUUGGAAGACUUCAACAGCAACUGUCCCUAUGGAGACCACAGUGG